rnacentral:lncRNA from 1 species
UGGCUCCAAGAAGCGCCAGCUCGCUCAUUUGCUCACACCCAGCAGGCAGAGAAGGCAGCAGCAGGCAGGACCGCCACCCUCCCAUGCAAAUCACCCCCGGGAGUGCAGCUGGGCUCCUCCCGCUCCUCCUGGGCAAUGCUCCUGGGGAGUCUGUGGGGAAGAUGCCAUCCAGGGCGCUGUGCGCUCUUCCUCAUCCUCGCCCUCCUGCUGGACGCGGUCGGCCUGGUCCUUUUGCUGCUGGGGAUCUUGGCCCCCCUGAGUUCCUGGGACUUCUUCAUCUACACAGGUGCCCUGAUCCUGGCUCUCAGCCUACUGCUCUGGAUCAUCUGGUAUUCCCUCAACAUUGAGGUGUCUCCUGAAAAACUGGACCUGUAAUUUGGCCAUGGGAAGAGGAGAAGAGACGCAGGUGCUGUAUGCAGACAUGUCUGUGAACCUGGGGCUCUUGGGCAGCAACACGUUGCAGCUUCCACCUAGCAAGCCACGCCGGGACCAGAUAACGAUAAUAAGGUGUAUGGAGGUUAAGUAACUUGCCCAGCAUAAUGGAACUAGGCAGUGAUCGAGCCAGAUUGUAAAACCAGGUAUAUCUGACCCUGUGGUUUAUGCUCUUUCCAUAAGACCAGGGGUAGGCAACUACAACCUAUGGGCCAAAUCUGGCCCACCUCCUGUUCUUGUAGAUAGUGUUUUAUUGGAACACAGACUGGCUCGUUCACUCUCAUAUUAUCUAUGGCUGUUUCAUGUUAUAGUGGCAGGGUCGAGCAAUGGUAACAGAGACUAUGUGGCCUGCAGAGCCUAUGACAUUUACUACCUGGCCCUUUACAGAAAACAUUUGCCAGCCCCUGGCCUAGUCACGUAUGUUUCCUAUAGGAGCCAAGUCAGAACCUUGAUCCAUGCCUGCAUGUGGGGAACGGGAAAAGGAAAGCAGAUGGAAGAGCCCAAAUGGAAGUUCCCAGUAAUAAUAAGGAAGAGACGUUAUGCCAAUGGCAAAGAGGACAAAGAAGGACAAUUAUCAAGAGUGAGGGGAAUUGACCAUCAAACACUUCAAAGCCAUCAAAAAAAGGCUGAAGCCUAAGGAAAGGCAGUUAGGCAGACCCAGCAAUGUGCCUUUCUCAGUAAAUGGUGGAGACAGAAAUCAGAUGAUGCUACUUAUCGGGUGGCUGAAGAUGGGUGAGGAGUGAGUGCAGAUUCAUCUUCAAAGUAUUUGGUGAUGAGAUUAAGAGGGUAGGGCAGUCACCUGCUGGCAUAACCGUGCUAAGGUGGGAAUUCUUAGAGAAGGGAUAUAGAACAUUGAGCAAGACGGUAAGUGGAGGAGAGAAAGUCAGCAGAGAGGAAAAGAGGAUGCUGACGUGAUAGACGAAGAUGAACCUGUGAUCACAUCCAAGGUGGAGGUUGAGGCAGAAUCCAGAGAGCAGAGAGAGGUAGGCAUCGGCUUUGCCUGCAAGGAAGGGUAAGGAGAGGAAACUAAGAUUUGAUGAGAAUCUUGAUAUUUAUUAAGCCAAUCACUUAUUUUCAUGAUCUCAUUCAGUGCUUACAACUCUGUGAGUGCGGGAUUCAAAUUUCCAUUUUCCAGGCAAAGGAAGCUGAGUCUCAUGUGGUUUCAGGGCUAGCCCAAGGUAACAGUGCCAUGGAGAGGCUGCUCUAGGAUUCAAACCUACGUCUGGCAACUCCAAAGACUAUGCUGGUUUCACCACACACAGGCUUGAAAUUGAUGGAUUUGGGUUGGGGGCUGAUCCAUUUUAUCUUCCUUUGUUCAACACAGGUCCCAUCUGAUGGAGGAGAAUCAAUUCAAGGAGAUGCCCUUCCUUUACAGAACACCCUUUAACAGCAUCCAGGAGGAACGAGAGGCUGCAAUACUGAGGCUUUCAAAGUACUCACGAGGAUGUCCGAGAAUGGCUGUGAUGCCAGGCUUCUGGCAGGUUCCAGACUCCAUCACAAGCCCAGCAUCCCUGCACCAGAUCUGACAUCGCUGCUGUUGUGCCAGCUGUUUAUGAAGGGCCUGAGUAGCUAGCAGGUUUUUAUCAGGAGCCCUGCUGGGGGCUUAGACACCAAAAGAGAAGACUCAUCCUCUGUAGUUCUUCUUGUGAAUGUCCUUUUAGAAAAACAAUUAGAACCAACCACAAGCACCAAAGUCCUAAUGGGAUCUCCUGCGAGCACAUAUCAAGCAGGAUUGUUGCUAUUUCUCCUCACUGGCUCUUUGGACAGACUGUGUGAGCUCCUGGAGGGUUCCACUGUAUCUACCCUUUGACACUGACCAGUUGGCACAUGGUGACAUAUUCCAAUGUGUUGAUUGCAAAUGUGAACGUACAGCCAGUGCUGUGUGCGGGAGGACUCUCUCCUCCUCAGUGGGGCCACACCGUGCACUAUUAAUGGAGCCCCACUCCUUUGCACAGCCUGGCCAUGCAGUGGCUCAUAUUGAGGUUUUAGCCAACUGAAAUCUCCCGUGCAUUUUUCUGACAAGCCAGCUAGGCCUCUGCUAUGCUGUCCUUGUGUCUUUCAUUUGAUGACCUUAAGGGUGGGACUGUUUUAUCUUAAGUUACAGGUGGUCAAGUCCAGCCCAAGGACAGCAACUCUGAGGGUCAAGCCUCAUAGGCUAACUGGAUAGAUGUUCUCUGCUUUGCCACCCACUGGAGCCCGACCUGCCCCACUAAUUUAUAUUUCCCCUGGUCUCAUUUUGUACUUUUUAUUUAUAAUUCACCCUUAAAGUGUAUGUGUCUCUUAUAAGCUGCCUCCGAUCUUUCAUGGUAUGAGGUGGUUACCUAAAUAAAGAAGGAGAUUUGGCCUUUGUUUU